AUUUUUUAUUGACAUUAACUAAAAGGUGAAUAAGACUUUAAUAGAGUCGCUCAGCUGACUGACUUAUCCAUGAACUAGGACGUUAGGUAACGAUAGCUGUCUGAUUUCCAGCAUUAAGGCUUGUGGUGAGUCUUGAUCGCGGUGAAAAAAGCCGUGUUCCUGGUCAGUCAAGUGCGGUUUUGAUAAGUUAAGGCACGACCAGAUGCGCGUUUGCAAUAUCCCAUCCACAGUCAAUCAGGCUCGACAACCUGAGAACCAAAGUGGAACGUCACCAAAAACGUUCGCCGUGAUGCCGCAGUGAUGUGGCUAUAAGCAUUGAGGCCGGUUCGAGUAGGUCAAGGCGACUUUUACUAUUACACAAUCAAUAGAAAAAUGCUUAUGCUGACCAAAAGAUGGUGGGUACUGAUCCCAGCCCGUGCCAUGUUAAAGCAACAAGAGGUUAUGAUCGACGGGUCAUGGCUAAGCCUUGUCGAGCACGUUGCCUAAUCAACUAUCAAAGCUAAGCUACGCAAACCAAUGCGCAGGCUGUUACGCCAGGACGACUCAUCAAUUGAA
rnacentral:sRNA from 1 species